GAAACUUGUGACUGUAUGCAAUACAGUAGAGCGCUGUAAAAGUAUAUUGGAAUAAUGUUUCAGGGAUGCUGGUCACAAUUUGUGCAAUACCUUAAAUGGGUCACAAGUUAAUAAAAGAUAAAAUUUUUAAAAGAAAAUAGAAUGGAAUGAAAACCUCCUAGCUUUAGUUUUAAGUUAAAAAAUGUAGUUCGCACCACCAUGAUAAGUACAAGUUCAUAAGCACCUGUGAUAUGCGUACAUGAAUAAAGAAUUUAAGAAUUUUA